CGGCGGACGGGUGAGUAACACGUGGAUAACCUACCUAUAAGGCUGGGAUAACUUCGGGAAACCGGAGCUAAUACCGGAUAAUAUAUUGAACCGCAUGGUUCAAUAGUGAAAGACGGUUUUGCUGUCACUUAUAGAUGGAUCCGCGCCGCAUUAGCUAGUUGGUAAGGUAACGGCUUACCAAGGCAACGAUGCGUAGCCGACCUGAGAGGGUGAUCGGCCACACUGGAACUGAGACACGGUCCAGACUCCUACGGGAGGCAGCAGAU
rnacentral:rRNA from 1 species